rnacentral:rRNA from 1 species
UAAGAAUAUUCCGCAAUGGACGAAAGUCUGACGGAGCGACGCCGCGUGGAUGAAGAAGGCCGAAAGGUUGUAAAAUCCUUUUGUUGGGGAAGAAUAAGCGUGGGAGGGAAUGCCCGCGUGAUGACAUGAACCGACGAAUAAGUCCCGGCUAACUACGUGCCAGCAGCCGCGGUAACACGUAGGGGACAAGCGUUAUUCGGAAUUACUGGGCGUAAAGGGCAUGUAGGCGGCCUGAUAAGCCUGGCGUGAAAGUCAUCGGCUUAACCGGUGGAUUGCGUCGGGAACUGUUGGGCUUGAGUCAUGGAGAGGAAGGCAGAAUUCCUGGUGUAGGGGUGAAAUCUGUAGAGAUCAGGAAGAAUACCAGUGGCGAAGGCGGCCUUCUGGCCAAUGACUGACGCUGAGGUGCGAAAGUGUGGGGAUCAAAC